UGGUUCGUAGCUCAGUGGUAGAGCAAGGAGCUUUUAACUCCGAGGUCGCAGGUUCGAAUCCUGCCGGGCCAACCA
rnacentral:tRNA from 1 species